rnacentral:rRNA from 1 species
AGAGUUUGAUCCUGGCUCAGAUUGAACGCUGGCGGCAUGCCUUACACAUGCAAGUCGAACGGCAGCACGGGAGCAAUCCUGGUGGCGAGUGGCGAACGGGUGAGUAAUACAUCGGAACGUGUCCUGUAGUGGGGGAUAGCCCGGCGAAAGCCGGAUUAAUACCGCAUACGCUCUACGGAGGAAAGGGGGGGAUCUUAGGACCUCCCGCUACAGGGGCGGCCGAUGGCAGAUUAGCUAGUUGGUGGGGUAAAGGCCUACCAAGGCGACGAUCUGUAGCUGGUCUGAGAGGACGACCAGCCACACUGGGACUGAGACACGGCCCAGACUCCUACGGGAGGCAGCAGUGGGGAAUUUUGGACAAUGGGCGAAAGCCUGAUCCAGCAAUGCCGCGUGUGUGAAGAAGGCCUUCGGGUUGUAAAGCACUUUUGUCCGGAAAGAAAACCUCGUGGUUAAUACCCGUGGGGGAUGACGGUACCGGAAGAAUAAGCACCGGCUAACUACGUGCCAGCAGCCGCGGUAAUACGUAGGGUGCAAGCGUUAAUCGGAAUUACUGGGCGUAAAGCGUGCGCAGGCGGUCCGCUAAGACAGAUGUGAAAUCCCCGGGCUUAACCUGGGAACUGCAUUUGUGACUGGCGGGCUAGAGUAUGG